rnacentral:rRNA from 1 species
UUUCGAAUCAUUCACAAUGGGCGAAAGCCUGAUGGUGCAAUGCCGCGUGGAGGAUGACGGCCUUAGGGUUGUAAACUCCUGUCAUUGGGGAGCAACAAGCAGGUUUAUAGCCUGCCCUGAGUUAACCCAAAGAGGAAGAGGUGGCUAACUCCGUGCCAGCAGCCGCGGUAAUACGGAGACCUCGAGCGUUACUCGGAUUCACUGGGCGUAAAGGGUGAGUAGGCGGCCAUGUAUGUCGGGUGUGAAAUCCCGGGGCUUAACCCCGGAACUGCGCCCGAAACUACUAGGCUAGAGUCUCGGAGAGGAUAGUGGAAUUCCAGGUGUAGCGGUGAAAUGCGUAGAUAUCUGGA